GAUAAACGCUAGCGGCAGGCUUAACACAUGCAAGUCGAGGGGCAGCAUAGAUUGUAGCAAUACAAUUGGUGGCGACCGGCGCACGGGUGCGUAACGCGUAUGCAACCUACCCGUCACAGGGGGAUAAUCCGGAGAAAUCUGGUCUAAUACCCCAUAACAUAUGGAUCGUCAUCGGAUCAUGUUGAAAUUUUCGGAGGUGACGGAUGGGCAUGCGUAGCAUUAGCUUGUUGGUGAGGUAACGGCUCACCAAGGCGACGAUGCGUAGGGGGACUGAGAGGUUUUCCCCCCACACUGGUACUGAGACACGGACCAGACUCCUGCGGGAGGCAGCAGUGAGGAAUAUUGGUCAAUGGGCGCAAGCCUGAACCAGCCAUGCCGCGUGCAGGAUGACGGCUCUAUGAGUUGUAAACUGCUUUUGUACGAGGGUAAAGUGGGUUACGUGUAACCUUUUGAAAGUAUCGUACGAAUAAGGAUCGGCUAACUCCGUGCCAGCCGCCGCCGUAA
rnacentral:rRNA from 1 species